rnacentral:lncRNA from 1 species
GCUGCCUGGGUCGGCUGGGCCUGUGGGCCUGCGUCCGACAGCGCGCGGCCGUGCUUUCUAAGCGGGCUCGGCAGCACCAGACUUCACCGGCCCGGCGCGGGGCUCACAAGUGCUCGCACUCCCUGCGGCCGGCGCGCUGACCGGAGCCUCUGGGUCUCGCACGCAGCAGCUGCAGACGCUGCCCGGCGCGGUGGGGCUGUGAGCAAAACGGCCCGCCGGUGUGGUUGCCCAGACUGUGCUGGGCCCUCCUAGGUGGAUGGCCCUGCCCCAGCCUAACUUCUGUACCCCAGCAUAACCUCCAAAGUAACAGCCGUGCCCUGGGAGCCUGUUCAACACUGAACAUAUCCCACAAUAACACUGUUCCAGCGUCGCUGGUAAAAAGCAGAAAUGGCUUCGCUGGAGGCAUCGACAAAUCUAAUGCAGUAACCUCAUUUUACAGAAGAGAACUCUAAGAGGAUAACUAACUUGGCCAAGAUCACAUGAUGUUUCUGGAUGAGAUUAGCAUUCAAAUUCGUGGACUCAUUAAAGUAGAUGGCUCUCUCCAAUAUGGGUGGGCAUCAUCCAAUCUGUUGAAGGCGUGAAGAGAACAAGAGAAGGAGGAAGGAAGAAUUCACCUUUUUUCUUGCUGCCCACCUGCUUGGGCUGGGACAUUGCAUCUCACCUUCUCCAGCCUUUGGAUGAGGAUUUACACCCUGGUUCUCAGGCCUUCAGGCUCUAACUGGAGCUACACUAUCAACUUUCCUGGGCCUCCAGAUUGCAGAUGGUGGAUCACGGUACUUUUUAGCCUCCAUCAUAAUAUGAGAAAAAAGAGGCACAGUGAAGCUAAAUAUAUUGGCUAAAGAUCACAAAGCUAUUACUAUUGGUGAGGAAUUUUGGAGUAAUUUGAUUGGGUGUUCUGGCUCAAGGGUCUCUUAUGAGUUUGCAGUCAGAUGUCAGCUGUGGCUACAUCAUCUGGACACAUGACUGAGGGUGGAACAUUCAAUUUCAAGAGAAGAUUAUCAAGGUUAUCUGUGCUCAAUGUGUGCAUCUCAGAUCAGCAGCAUCAGCAUCACCUGGGAGCUUGUUAGAGCUGGAGACUCUCAGGCUCCACGGCAGACUUCCUGAAUCAGAAGCUACAAUUUAACAGGAUCCUCGGGUGAUCUGAAAAUGCAAUAAAGUUUGGGAAGCACUGCUGUUGGUCAUUAGACAAUCUAAUGAACUAAGACUUUUGCCGAGCAUCUGAGUUGAAAUUUUUCAAGAUGAAAAGUUGCUAAAGAAAGAGAAAGGGAAGCGGUUUGCUCCAGUAUUCCUCUUUCCACCUUCCCACUGACUGGGAAGCGGCGGUUAGCAGAGCCACAGUCUUGGAUUAGAGAUAAGAGGGACAUGUUGAGGAAGGUGGAGUCUCCCCCACAGCCCUGGACCAGGCUCCAGUGCCAACAAAAGCCAAGAAGAACCUCUGGAGCAAUCAGUCUUGGCAACCAGGUCUGUGCAUAAUCUAGAGAUCAAAUUGUUCCUGAUUCUCAAUCUCUGAUGAGCUAUGCCACGCUUAGAAGGUGGACAAGCGGUGCAUCUUGAUGUGGAAAACAGGUUUUUCUUUACAUUUUCUCAAUCCUAGGAAGAAUGGACAUCACAAGGAACUGCCAAGUACGGAAUCCCUGUAUUCUAGGAUUUGGCAAGCUGUCCACUGAAACAUUAUUUUUCCCAGCCUUCUUUGCAGAGGUGGGGAAACUGAGGCAAAGGGUGUUUAAAUGGUCUGCCCAAAGUCACACAGCUAAGAAGCAGUGAUGGGAUAUGAAGUCAAACAGUCUUAAAAGCAAGCUAUCCUGUUGCAAAAUAGAAAUUAGUUGAUAACGUCUUCCAGGAGACCUACGGCCAUCCUACUGAUAUGAACCAGAUCAUACCUGCCCUGAUGGGAUGCCAGAGAAAGACUGCUGCAAGGUACGCGCCACUCACAGACCUCUCCAUUUAUCUCACUGAUGCAAAGGACCCUGAGGGAUCCUCUGGAAACAGAACAGAGGGAAGAAGAUACCUUCCCUGAAGCCCAGAUGUUCCAGAAGCCUGCGCCUCAUUCACAAAGUCACCCCAAAAAUGCCCUAGAGUUUGGAGUUUUGAAGAAGCGGGAAGAAGGCCUGAGUAAGGGCCUGGGAACCAAGUUAGAUCCUACUUCAGCAUCAGCACAUGCCAGCGAUGGUGCACACAGGUGGAGAGCGGCCUGCCCGUCUUUUCCAUGGUGCCCACAGACCCAUUUAGGAUGAAAGAUCAGAAAAUUCUCUCCAUGUCACCGCUUCUGAAACAUGUGAAUAUUAAUAUUUGGUGCCUAAAAGGCCAUGGCAAAUUUUCAUUGGUUUUAUCUUAUUCAUGAUUAUAGAGUUGAAAGAAUACAUAUUCCCAUGGGGAUCAAUGAAGACAUUCUCAUUUUGAAUGAAGUAGAAUAUAAGUUGUAAAGAUAUAGAAUUUUCCUGAACUGAACCUUGAACCAAAAAUCCCCUCAAUUAACCUGGAACUAAACACAGUCCCUGAAGAUAACAAGGAGUUUCAGGAUGCCACAGGGCUGUCUGUGCAGUAUGGGGCUUCUUGCUCUAUCUCUGGUAUCUGAGGCAGAUAGGCUACUCAGGCCCCUCUCUGGUCUCAAGGUGGGCUGGCUGAGAUGUCAGUUUCUUCCUCAGUGACAGCUUGGGUACAGUAUGUGUAAACUGAUUGUCAGCUGAGCUGAAGGGACUCUGCCCAUAUUGGAGUGUUCUACAAGAAGAGGUGUCAAACCUAAAGGUCUAAAAUUACUAUGAAAGGAGUAUUGGAAACCACUGGGACAAUUGUGAUCACAACUGGUGGUAGCCUUCUCGUUUGGGUGAGAAAGACAGAAAGGAGGAAGAUGUGUUAGUCAAGGUUCUCUAGAGGGACAAAACUAAUAGGAUAUAUGUAUAUAUGAGAGGGAGUUUAUUAAGGAGAAUUGACUCACUUGAUCACAAGGUAAAGUCCCAAGAUAGGCUGUCUGCAAGUUGAGGAGCAAGGAAGUCAUUGGUGGAUUGUUCUGGGUACCAAAACCUCAAAAGUAGGGAAAUCGACAGUGCAGCCUUCAGUCUGUGGUCAAAGGCUCGAGGGGCCCUGGCAGACCACUGGUGUAAGUCCAAGAGUCCCAGAAGCUGAAGAACUUGGAGUCUGAUGUUUGAGGGCAGGAAGCAUCCAGCACAGGAGAAAGACGGAUGCUGGAAGACUUAGCAAGUCUGUUCUUUCCAAUUUCUUCUGCCUGCUUUUAUUCUAGCCAUGCUGGCAGCUGAUUAGAUGGUGCCCUCCCAAAUUGAGGGUGGCUGUGCCUCUCCCAGUCCACUGACUCAAAUGUUAAUCUCCUUUGGCAACACCCUCACAGACACACCCAGGAACAAUACUUUGCAUCCUUCAUUCCAAUCAAGUUGACACUCAAUAUUAACCAUCACAGAAGGAGAAUUUCAGGCUGAGUCCAAACACUAUGGCCCCAGCCCCAGCUUCCCCUUUCUGGGUUGAAUAACCAGACUGAGCCUAAGAAAAGGAAAAGAGUUGACUUUCUCCCAAAAGGCCUGCAGCGGGUUAGAAAGCAAUGGUUUGGGGACCAUACUGAGUGCCUAGGAUGCUCUGGACCACAAAGCUUGAAGUCAAAUUGUUCAUGCACUUGUUUCAUGAUAGGAAGAGAGAGAGAGAGAGAGAGAGAGAGAGAGAAAUUUCCUUUCCUUGAAGAAUGGCAAAACACGUCUCUUGUUCUGGGGGCUAUAUCUUGAAGGGUAUCUGAUCUCCCCCUCAUGGGAGGAACUAGAAUGCCCUAAGGCAGCCGUGGCUCCUGGAGCUGAGAGAUCUUUCUGACACUUUGUGAGAGCUGCAAGGCUAAGUCUGGAGCCAGAAAAGUCCAUGUGGACAAGUGCAGAGCAAGCAGAUCUGAGACACAUGUGGGAGCAAGCUGGACAUGUCCAAAAGUCAGAGGAAGCAAGAGCAGACAUGCAUGAGCAGGCAGAUGAGGCUGGUGCCCAGGCAGCAGGCUGAGGCUCUGGCUGGGCUUUGGAUGCUCCUGAGAGUCCAGUUAGAGACCAGUGAGCAAACCCACAGUGAACUCUUAUUCCUCACGCAGCAGGACGAGGGAUUAAGCACAAAGCCUUAAAGGUCUGAGUGUCUCUUUAUCCUGACCUCAGGAAAGAGAGGCAAGUAUCAUGUUUCUAAAAGUCUGAGAAGUCUUCACAUGACAGCCUACACCAAAAGAACUCAAAUGCACAUCCACUGCAUACACGCAUGUGUGCACACAUAUACAUGUGUACACAUGCAUGCCCACACACAACCCUCUGGAAGAGGAAGUAAAGAGACUUUAUGUUUUCAGCCCCUCUUGAGGAAACUUAAACUAAGUCUUUCUGUGGGGUUAGUGGUGGAGACAGAGAGGGUCUGGGGUCACCGAGGCCGAGGUGGCUGGACCCAGAGGGUAGAGCUGAGGGGAUCCCCUGAGACUGGGAAGAUGGAGCAGAAGCAGAUGGCAGAUGGCAGCAGGUGAGAGCAGACUGGAUUUCUCCUAAAUCACCAGAUCCAGCCAACCUUUCUUUCCUUAGGGACACCUCUAGAUCCCAUUCCAAAUGAACUCUUUCUCUGACCUUUCACCUCAAUUCAGAAUUUGGGAAAUUUAGCCAUGAUCUUAGGAACACAGAGGCUUGAAACAAUCUUUUCUAACCACCCGUUUGUUCAGACUGUGUAAGUUCUGCUUCUGCAUCCAGUGUCAACACCCAAGAACCAUUUUAAAGGGGAGCCAUCCUUUGAAAUUAAACUUCUUUUAAUAAUAAAGACAGAUUUCAGGGUUGACAUAAAAGAUAGCCACAGUAAAGCCAAUCCUCCAGUGUAUAACAUUUUUCAAAGUUUCCUUCCUCUUCAUUGCUGGUGUUCAUGUACAGUCCAGAGUUAGUCUACAUUAAAUUAUAGAUUGUUUUCAGCAAUAAUGCAAACAUUUGGAAGCCUUCAAACUCUCUGAUAACUAACUUCUACAUUCUCUCUGCUAUUAUUAUAUAGAAAGGGAAAUUUUACCUGAUGCUGUUAAAGUCCUCACGAACAUAGUGAUCCGAAUUGGCUGAAGUGGAAAACUAAAUGUUAGCUGAUUUUCAAAACAAGAUUUCCACUCUGAAUUCCCAUUUUUCACAUGUGAUCAUAUGCCUUGUUGUGAAGUUGAACUAAAAAGAAACUCCAUGCCCACUGGCUUAAUGCUAGAAGAUAAUCUACAGCAUAGUAAUUUCUUAGACUUCACUUUAUUAGCCACUAAACUUGGAAUGAUUAUUUCUAUGUUCAAUUAUUAAGUCUAUAUCUCCAUUUCUUAAAAAGGUCUGAGGCAGCCCCUUUGAAUAUUAAUACGCAUUUAUUUUCACCUCUCAAAUAAAAAAAUAGUUCACAGUG